rnacentral:rRNA from 1 species
GUCUAUGGCCAUACCACCCUGAACGCACCCGAUCUCGUCUGAUCUCGGAAGCUAAGGAGGGUCGGGCCUGGUUAGUACUUGGAUGGGAUACAAAGAGUGAAAUUAUUCACUGUGUUUG